AUGUCCGGGAGAGGCAAGGGAGGAAAGGGGCUGGGCAAGGGCGGCGCCAAGCGCCACCGCAAGGUGCUCCGCGACAACAUCCAGGGGAUCACCAAGCCGGCGAUCCGGCGGCUGGCGCGGCGGGGCGGCGUGAAGCGCAUCUCGGGGCUCAUCUACGAGGAGACCCGCGGCGUGCUCAAGAUCUUCCUCGAGAACGUCAUCCGCGACGCCGUCACCUACACCGAGCACGCCCGCCGCAAGACCGUCACCGCCAUGGACGUCGUCUACGCGCUCAAGCGCCAGGGCCGCACCCUCUACGGCUUCGGCGGCUAG
rnacentral:rRNA from 1 species